rnacentral:rRNA from 1 species
AAUCAACGCUGGCGGCGUGCCUAACACAUGCAAGUCGAACGAGAAAGUGGAGCAAUCCAUGAGUACAGUGGCGACCGGGUGAGUAACACGUGACUACCUACCCUUGAGUGGGGGAUAACCUCGGGAAACCGAGGCUAAUACCGCAUAAUAUCGAGAGAUCAAAGGAGCAAUCCGCUCUUGGAGGGGGUCGCGGCUGAUUAGCUAGUUGGUGAGGUAAUGGCUCACCAAGGCGAAGAUCGGUAUCCGGCCUGAGAGGGCGCACGGACACACUGGAACUGAAACACGGUCCAGACUCUACGGGAGGCAGCAGUGGGGAAUUUUGCGCAAUGGGGGAAA